rnacentral:piRNA from 1 species
CGAGUGCUGGGAUUAAAGUUGUGUG